rnacentral:sRNA from 1 species
CCAAGGGCUGACACCCUUGGCUAGGAUAUUUCGCCCCGUGGGGCU